rnacentral:ncRNA from 2 species
AUAUUUCGUCUGGGGUGCCUGAACGUGUCUAAGUAAAUGAUUAAGAUCAUUUAUUACCACGUUCGUAAAGGCUGAGAUAAUACCCAUCGAACCUGAUGCAGUUUGUACUGUCGAAGGAAGAGCGAACCGGAAAAUUG